GGGCUCGCGGGCGCACGAAAUCGGCGCUUUCAAAUGCCGGCAGAUUUCCCCACUUUCGAAUGCAUUUCGCUUCCACGGUAACCAAAGGCGCGUUCUGUAAACAAUGCACUGCCGAUUGGCGCGAGCGCUGAAAUCAGACCACCGAAGCAGCACAAAUAUUGUAUCUGAUGUUAAUAAAAAUCCAGGAUUCAAAAGAAAAUUUCAUUGUCUUUCUCAUGAGAACCUCUUUUUUUCCCCGUAAGUCCUCUGUUUUUCAGAAACUGACAAAACUCUCGAGCGUAUGAUUGUCAAUCGAUCAGAAUUUUCUGGCGAGUGGGAUAUCUACUCGAGCGUCCUCUGUAAAAACACGAGAAAAUAACCUAUCAAAUCAGACGAACAAACAAAACUUUCAUGAACAUUUUCUUUGUUAUGCUUUUCUGUGUAUAUGUCUUGAAAAUCAGCUCGUCUAACCUAAAGCUUUUCAAGUUAUUAAAGUUUUUGUGAGGUUCUCUAUUUCGCAUCUAGUCGGAAAAUGAGAUGGUUCGAGCGUAUAACGGGGAUCGAGCGAAUGAGUAUCGAUUUGAUAUCUAAAUGAGAUUUUUGGCCGAUAGUAUUUCGGCAGAGGAUCGAGUAACUAUUGAUCUGUCUUUCCGGAAAUUUCUCAGCCAAAGGACAAAAUGGCGACUGUUAAUCUCUGCUUUGAAGGGAGAAAUUUUCGCGCGCGUCCAGCGUUUCUCGAAGAUGUGAUGUUAGGACGAAUCCGCAAGGAUUGAAUGAGUAAUAUUUUCUUUUUUGAUUUUCAUUGAUUUAAAAAUCCUGAAAGAACAAAAUGUUUAAUAUAGAUUCAAGUAAACGUUCUAUAAAAUCCAUCGACUUUAGUUUGGUUUUUGUGAAGUUAUUAGCUUUCAAAGUCAGAGCAAGCGUAAUUCUCAGUCCACUUUGCCGUGGUUCCCAAUUGUUCAACCGUAGGCCCACUCUAUUUCAUAUAUUCAUAAAUUCUUAUUUUGUUAUUUGAGAGUGUUUUUUGUACUUCACCCGCUAAAACCUGAACAGAGGGAAAUUUGUUUACUUAAGCUAUGUUCUUGUUAACUCUUCCAUCCUAAAUCAGCACAACUAAUUCAAAACAAACGAUAUUCCUGGAUUGAGUUUGCUCUUAGGGCUGGACCCUUCACAGAAUGUAGUUGUAGAAUAUCAUCUGAAGGCUGGAUGACACUUGCUUGUAGGUUUUUCCUUAGGUUUUAAUUUAACUUUUGGAAUGUGACAGGUCCAACAUCUAUUUUAUUUGUAUUAGUGCCUUCACAUAUGGAAAAAGGGUGCCCUUUACUUUGCUCCUAUUUCUUGAGUGACCUACUGUAUGGAGAACUUGGCAGUUGUUAAUGAAAUACACCAGUACAAGCCAAGUAGCUUGGAAGGAUUUCAUGAAAAAGGUGGAGUCAUGUAUCAAGGAUUUUUAUGACUGCUUCAAGCUGCAAAAGAGAAAUCUUCCAGAGACUUCUUCCUCGGGGAUCUGUCCCAUUGGGCCUCAAUUUUCGUUCCUAGAGAAACAAUCACAUUGCAACUUCUCUUGUGCAGCCUUGACAACUGAUUGGUAAGAAAAUAUGCGUCGCUCUUCUCGAACCCUGACAAAAUUAUUUCUUCAGAGAGACUCAAGCUUGUCAUAGAAGCUCAAGUUUUUGCUGCUUUGGUUUUUAUCUUCCACUAUUAGUUGUUUUCCUUUCUAAAUCCAAUAAUUUUGACAAGACUCCUUCGAACAGCCUUUGCCGCCAUUUUUAAUUCCGAGUGUUUUUGGAUGGA